GGUUGUGGCUCAGUGGUAGAGUCCUCGCCUAGCAUGUGUGGGGCCCUAGGUUCGAUCCUCAGCACCA
rnacentral:tRNA from 1 species